ensembl:snRNA U6 U6 spliceosomal RNA
UCACUUUAGCAGCAAACAGACUAAAGUUGGAAUGAUACCAAGAAGAUUAGCACGGCCCAUUUGCUGAGAUGAUACAUAAAUUUGUGGUGCAUUCCAGGGACAA